rnacentral:rRNA from 1 species
CCUACGGGAGGCAGCAGUGAGGAAUAUUGGUCAAUGGGCUUACGCCUGAACCAGCCAAGUCGCGUGAGGGAAGCCUGCCCUAUGGGUUGUAAACCUCUUUUGUCAGGGAGCAAUUGGAGCUACGUGUAGAGUUAUCGAGAGUAGCUGAAGAAAAAGCAUCGGCGAACUCCGUGCCAGCAGCCGCGGUACUACGGAGGAUGGGAGCGAUAUCUGGAUUUAUUGGGUGUAAAGGGUGCGUAGGCGGAAUGCCAAGUCAGCGGUAAAAGCGCGGGGCUCAACCUCGCUCCGCCUUUGAUACUGGCGUUCUUGAGUGGGCGAGAGGUAUGCGGAAUUCGGGGUGUAGCGGUGAAAUGCAUAGAUAUCACGCAGAACUCCGAUUGCGAAGGCAGCAUACUGGCUCCCAACUGACGCUGACGCACGAAAGCGUGGGUAUCGAACAGGAUUAGAUACCCGAGUAGUC